rnacentral:rRNA from 1 species
UACGGAGGAUCCGAGCGUUAUCCGGAUUUAUUGGGUUUAAAGGGUGCGUAGGCGGUUUGAUAAGUUAGAGGUGAAAUGUCGGGGCUCAACCCCGAAACUGCCUCUAAUACUGUUGGACUAGAGAAUAGUUGCGGUAGGCGGAAUGUAUGGUGCAGCGGUGAAAUGCUUAGAGAUCAUACAGAACACCGAUUGCGAAGGCAGCUUACCAAACUAUAUCUGACGUUGAGGCACGAAAGCGUGGGUAGCAAACAGG